rnacentral:rRNA from 1 species
CCUACGGGUGGCAGCAGUGGGGAAUUUUGGACAAUGGGGGCAACCCUGAUCCAGCCAUGCCGCGUGCGGGAAGAAGGCCUUCGGGUUGUAAACCGCUUUCGGCCGGAACGAAAUCGCCGGGGAGAACAUCCCCGGUGGAUGACGGUUCCGGAAGAAGAAGCACCGGCUAACUACGUGCCAGCAGCCGCGGUAAUACGUAUCGUGCGAGCUGGGAGCGGAAUUACUGCGCGUGGAGCGUUAAGAGGCGUGUGAAAUCCCCGGGCUUAACCUGGGAACUGCGUUUGUGACUGGCGGGCUGGAGUGCGGAAGAGGGAGGUGGAAUUCCACGUGUAGCAGUGAAAUGCGUAGAGAUGUGGAGGAACACCGAUGGCGAAGGCAGCCUCCUGGUCUAGCACUGACGCUCAUGCACGAAAGCGUGGGGAGCAAACAGGAUUAGAUACCCCAGUAGUC